rnacentral:antisense_RNA from 1 species
GAGAUCUUCAGCUGCAGCUCGGGGGGAUCCACCAUGUCACACAGGGCUCCUAGUCCAAGUGCUGCUGGGAGAGUCAGGGACCUGGCUCAUAGGGAUCAUUGAGAGAAUGAUCCCCUCAGCUGCUGAGCACUGGUGCCCCCUGCCCCAUCUGGUUGACUCUUACUCCAGUGUGCUAUAAAAAUAGCAUUUUCCAUGUGUGCCAUGAAGGCAAAAUGAUCUAAGCUGAGCCAGAGCCCCUGGAUCAGGGAUACUCACAGGAUGUAGGUGAUGACGCCUAUGCUCCUGCAAAAUAAAGAACAGUCAAGUCAGGGCCGCCUGGGUCCAAUCCCCGACCAGCAAGGGACACCCUCAUGGAUCUAAGGGGAAGAGGUCACUUGCCUCCUCCACAGCAGACCCUGGAUGCCGUCUCAUGCUCCACACCCCUCUCCAUCCCGCUCUUCAGCAGCAGCCCAGGGUGUGUUUGGAGUCAUCGAGCUCUGAAUCCUGAGUCCGAAGACCCGAGUUCAAGAUCAGACUCUUGCACUUGCAGGCUGUGUGAUUUCGCACUUUUUCAAAGCUUGGAGAUCAUGGAGGCAAAAGAGAGGACAGUAGCUUGAGAAGGAGGAAGGACUGAGCCCAUUCAACUGCGAAUGGAAAAGGUAGAGAGUGGGAAAGUGUAUUUGUCUUCUCUGACUGCUUUGUCUUGGUACCCUUUAGUUUCACUAUAAUGUGUCUAGGUAAGAUUUUUGUUUUUUUCUGCCUGGUAUAUAUUGUCCUUUCUGUGUCUGUGGAUGCAUGGAUGCAGUUCUGAAAAUUCUCAGCCAUUCUCUUCAAAUAGUGCUUCUCCUUUUUUUUGGUAUCUAUUUCCUCCUUUUAGAAUUCCAAAGAGACCUAUGAUAAGUUUUCUCUUUUUAUUCUCUUUUGCUUAUCCUCUCUUUCAUAUUUCUAUGUCUUUGUCACUCUACGGUGCUCUAGCUAAUUUGUUUCAGCUCUUUCAAUUCUUCAACUCUCUCCUUAGCUGUAUACAAUCUGAUGUAUAACCCAUUCACAGAGUUUUAAAUUUCAACAAUUAAAUUCUUUAAAGUUC